rnacentral:rRNA from 1 species
GUGGGGAAUAUUGGACAAUGGGCGAAAGCCUGAUCCAGCCAUGCCGCGUGUGUGAAGAAGGUCUUCGGAUUGUAAAGCACUUUAAGUUGGGAGGAAGGGCAGUAAGUUAAUACCUUGCUGUUUUGACGUUACCGACAGAAUAAGCACCGGCUAACUUCGUGCCAGCAGCCGCGGUAAUACGAAGGGUGCAAGCGUUAAUCGGAAUUACUGGGCGUAAAGCGCGCGUAGGUGGUUUUGUAAGUUGGAGGUGAAAUCCCCGGGCUCAACCUGGGAACUGCCUCGAAAACUGCAUGACUAGAGUACGGUAGAGGGUAGUGGAAUUUCCUGUGUAGCGGUGAAAUGCGUAGAUAUAGGAAGGAACACCAGUGGCGAAGGCGACUACCUGGACUGAUACUGACACUGAGGUGCGAAAGCGUGGGGAGCAAACAGGAUUAGAUACCCGUGUAGUCC